GCGGCCAGGUGGUGGUGGGCAGUGACCGGCGCCACAGUGACAAGCCUACACGAACAUAGUGACAAUAGCCAUGAUAACAACGAAAAGAACAGCGUGUGUGUAGCCUCGGUAAACACGGACACAAGAUGGGUUAGGAUGUGUGUGUGUGUGGCUGGGGGUGAGUGGGUACCUACUGCUGGUGACGGCAGCAGCCAUGACCAGCCGCAGUCUUCACCAGCAGCAAACGAAUGCCCUGGUUAGCGCACCGUGGCGGCGAUCCAGGAGCCUCGUGCUACUUGUGGUGGCGGUGGCGUGGCUGACUGGCUGGCUGUGGCGGGCCUGCACGUGCUAUCAUAUGGGUUGCGUGGUAGGUGCGUUCACUGGUCUGGACCAGGGUUAAAAAGAGACCCUGGUCUGGGCUGUGUUGGUGCGUGUUCUGAAGAGAUAACAUAACAUAACAUAAAUAAUUGGAUAACAAAGGGCCACCAGGGACCAUUUAUAGUCCGACACAAAUAUGAAGGCCGCUGAGGGGGGAGACCUAUCGGGGAUUCCCCGGUUGCAGCUACGCCAAACGUCGCAGCCCCAAUUAUAGGA
rnacentral:lncRNA from 1 species